GACGAACGCUGGCGGCGUGCUUAACACAUGCAAGUCGAACGGAAAGGCCCUGCUGUUGUGGGGUGCGCGAGUGGCGAACGGGUGAGUAACACGUGAGUAACCUGCCCUUGACUUUGGGAUAACUUCAGGUAACUUGAGCUAAUACCGGAUAGGAGCUCCUGCUGCAUGGUGGGGGUUGGAAAGUUUCGGCGGUUGGGGAUGGUCUCGCGGCUUAUCAGGUUGUUGGUGGGGUAGUGGCAUACCAAGGCUUUGACGGGUAGCCGGCCUGAGAGGGUGACCGGCCACAUUGGGCCUGAGAUACGGCCCAGACUCCUACGGGGGGCAGCAGUGGGGAAUAUUGCACAAUGGGCGGAAGCCUGAUGCAGCAACGCCGCGUUCGGGAUGACGGCCUUCGGGUUGUAAACCGCCUUCGCCUGUGACGAAGCGUGAGUGACGGUAAUGGGUAAAGAAGCACCGGCUAACUACGUG
rnacentral:rRNA from 1 species